UUUUUCGGCGUUCUCUGUGGGCUGACUACUGUCAUCCAGAGCCACCGGAUCAACUGAAAUCAGCAUGAACAGGGCGUGCAAAUUCACUGCCUUGCACACAACUGAGCCUAACAUUCAGCUCAUGACCAGUGAUGUAAAUCAAUGAUUUAACCAGUUGGGUAUAAAAGGAUAUCCACCCCGAGCGGAAACCUUGACAGGCACCAGGCUUCACACCAGAAAUAGUUUUAAAGAGAACAAUGAUCCACCAGUAACCAGUCACAGGGACCAGGAAAUGGUAUAAUCCUCAAGAAAUCUCCGAAAGCCUGCAAAAUAACCUGCCACCUCGCAGCUCUGCACCUUGAGCAGACUAAGGACUGGCUUCAGUGUCAAAGCAUGAGAUCAGAAAUCUUUUCCAAACUUUAAGGGCUACGCUGUGAGGAGUUUGUUUCUCUUAACAGAGAGUAAUCAACAAUAUUCUACAAAUGUCUACAAUACUUCAGUCAAGGACCGCGCAGGGGGUGCGGGUGGUCUCUGCUCACAGGGAGGUACGUGUGUGACUGCACAGGCUGGGUGCAAACCCCACCCGAGCUGCUGCCGCCCACUGGCGUGGCUGAAGCCCCGUGCCCACGCUGCCUCUCGCAGACAGCUUACGUUCAGACUCGCUGCUAACCGUCUGCCAAACACCAUCUCCAGUGUCAUAGACAGACCGAAGCAAACGGUGCAGCUGCCUCUUUCCCCAAAGCUCCUGUUUCGGUUUUCCUUCACGAUGAACGCGCAGUGCUGCUUCGGUGAUUUAGUGCCCGGCUUCUGUAUGCACCACAGAAGGAGCCAUCGUUGAGAAAGGUUUCUUAAAAAACCCGAGUUAUUGCCAUGGCACCAAGAUGAGCCACAGACCGAGGCCAGUGUUUGUAAUUCCCUGGGGAACACACUUUACUCCUCUGUCAGCGCAGAGCCCAGCUCAGAGCUCACCACCAGUGAGCCUUCAUUAGCUGAAACCGUCAACCUCCUCCCGCUGGAAGAAAUUCCACUGUUCUGGAAAACUGUCAUCUCGAAUGAGAAUUAAUACUCGGAGUUGUUUUUAAAGAUUUCUUGGCUGCUUGUGAAUUCCUCAGGUGUCUUUCUCUGCCUUUACUCGAGGGCACUGACUUGAGGCCUCUGGGGAGCGGGGGUAACUCAGAGAGUCCCAGGCCACCAGCGCCGCUCCCUGUUGUAGGACACUAAACCCGAAGAGCCCCGGGAGCAUGAGGAAACCGUUAGGCUUUUCCAAUAUAACAAUCUUCGAGCUUUACAGCAACUGGGGAGAAUCCAGUAAGGUGAAACUACUUCUUAUCAGUCACCAGAUACUUACAGGAGUCUUGAAUUUGGAGUACUUCGGGGGUUUUGGCUUAAAAACAUUUUUUCUUUUAGUUACACUUCUAGAGCACGUAGUUAUAUAAAAUAAGGCCUUAUGUUACAAAGGUAUCUCCGUUUUUGGGAGUAAGGAAGGAAAGAUACGCUUGUAUCUGGUAUAACUAAUAAUCCAAAUGUUAAUCAAAUCCAUGCUUUCUCUUACAGAAUUAAUGUUCUGUACCGUGUCCUUCUUCAGCCCUGAGGUCUCUUUCUUCUAUAAUCUUAGGCCAGACUCUGGUCCUGCUUUUACCUCCCUACAUAUAGGCUACCAUGGAAGCGUCUUUUUUCUGUUGUAACAGUGCUACAAAAGAUGGAACCUAUGUUAGAUACUUAUGUUUUUCAGUAUUUAAUAUUUACUCUGUCUUAUCAAUGUUUCUUGAUAAAUCUGCUCAACACAGGUGUAAGAUGGGAGAUGUACAAAACUGAUGGACAAUGGACAAGAGGAGAUUUAUUACAAACAUCCAUCAGGUUUCUGACUAAAAAGCAGAAAUAAGGAAAGCAUUUUCAGGCCUUACCUUGCAGAAAACAGAGGACAAAAGCUUCCGUGGGCUCUCCCUGACUUAAUGUUUUCUUGUAAACUUUGUCUUCUCUGCUCUACAAAAACCACCAACUUAUUUUCUUUAUGGGGUCCUUUUAACAGUAUUUCAAUGACAUGCAGUAUGAUAUAAAUUCUUGACAAUAUUACAGGUUCUAUCAAAAAACCAAGAUGCGUUUUGUGAAUUAACUUUUGUUAUAAGGAUUCCUAAAAUUGCCCAAAUAGGCUUCCACUACAAACUUGCUAUCAAUUUCUGGAACAAUGGCUACCACCCAUUGGAACAAAAGAAUCCAACAAGUAUUACACUCAAUUGGCUAAAAAAUUGUGCUGUACAGAAAUGUGUAAUUUAUUUUAUAACCCCUCUUCUGGUUUCUUCUUUAUUACUGGUAAGUAUAGUUGUUAUAUGGGAGAAAAGAAUUAAUACCCACACAUUACAUCUCAUUACGCCUUUAUAGCAUAACAUAUUGUCAUAAUUAACUUUUUAGCACAUUUCUAAGUAUCUAGACAACUUC